GCAGGGUGGAGGAGACACGGUCAAGGCGCAGAAGAACCUGGGAGGCCUGUGGCUGCUGAGGCUGAGCAGCACCUUCCCCUUUGCUCUCCAGAAAAUGGGCCUGGUCAUCGCAGUCCUGCCUCCAUGGGCGGCAUUUAAGAGGCUCCCUCCAGGUACAGUAGAAGUGCUUUUUAAGCCCUGCAGGAUUAGAGAAGUUUGAAUUGUCGUGUCUGGCAUAUUGUGCAUUCUAAAUAAAUAUUUAAGAGUAAAUACAAAAUUAUUCAGCAUUUCAAUGCUGUGCGCUUUCGCAGAAUGUAGUUUCUCUCCUAUAAAUAAAAAUGUAGAUCGGGUUUGAGAGCAGAAGGAAGACACUGUCCCUGCAUUUUAAUACCUGAAGCCUUAUUUACCAUAACAAAGCUUCAACAGAGUAGAGCUGGAAAGACCUGCAAGAUGAAUUCACCCAAGAUCCUAAUUUUCAAGGUGAAGAUGCUACGCCUGGUCAAGGUCAGCCCCAGGCACAAGGCCUCCUGGCCCAGCGAGAUAUCAGCCACACCACAGGGUCAUGUUUCCAGAUGUCCUAUUUUAGGUAAAAGAAAACAAGAACACACCACUUCCCUUUGGUCUUUACGGAUUCCCCAGUGCAUUUCCAUGCGGUAUUAUUUCCGUAGGUCCUUUACAAGGUGGAGAUGUCACGACCCAGGCUUUUCCGUCAGCCAGGAAAGUCAAGUUCAGGUGUGCAAGAUCACCUGUUCAGGAAAUGACGAACUGCACGUAAGGCUCCUCUCCCAGGGCUCACCCUGUACAGAAAAUGUCUGCAAUUUCUGCAGCGGGAGAAGAAGACAAGCGCUGUGUCACGGACACAUCCAACAAGGCAUCCCACCACGGCAUCCCAACAAGGCAAUUCAGCAAGAUUUCUGGGUCCGAAAAAAAAAAGAUGGACAGAAACCUAAAUGAAAGGACGAUCCACGGCCCUGGAAAGAUGACAGGCAUCGGAGGAGCUUGGCGAGAGGUGGAGUUCACGGCAUCACUUACUGCAGAUGCUCUCAGACAGCGACCGAUAGGUGGCAGCAACCUUCUGAAACUUGCAGAGGAAGAUGAAUUUCUACCUUCACACUCUUACUUCGGAGCCCUGCGCAGGGCAUGGAUCAGGUGAAUGUUCACACAGACUGUGUAUAUUCUUUUCCAAAGCAAGGACGGGACACUGUCCUGGUACUUGCUAAAAUAUUUGUCAUUCCAAUUUUUUUUUCUUCUACUACUUCAUCGCAGAUAUUUCUAAAUUUUAUUUAUUUGUUUGUUUAUUUAUUUUAGGGUCACACCUGCAGCACAUGGAAGUUCCCAGGCUAGGGGUGGAAUCAGAGCUUCACCUGCCAGCCUACACCGCAGCCACAGCAACUCGAGAUCCGAACCACGUCUGCGACCUACACCACAACUCGCUGGAUUCUUAACCCACUGAGCGAGGCCUGGAAUUGAACCCUGAUCCUCAUGGAUCCUAGUUGGGUUCAUUGCUGCUGAGCCAUGACGGGAACUCCUUGAUAUUCUAUAUUAAACGGAUGCUCAGGGUGGAGAGAAGGGUGGUUUCAAUUCUCAGGCUUUUAAACUUCCGGUUCCCGUACUUGAAAAGAACAGGUUUUACCUUGUGUGUGACUGUUGUUUCUAACAUGAGUCAAGCGCUUAUCAUUUCUCAGCAGCUGCCAGAAGGAGGCCAGGGCUAACCGGUCCACUCUUGUCUGCAUCAGUUACGUGCAGAUGUCCUAAGAGAUGAAUCUUCCCUGCACCCUAAAGAUACUGCUUGUGGGGUAAACAGAACAGGAAGCACAUUGUCCCAAUACAGUUGACUUUUUGUUGUUGUUGUCAAGGGUGAAUUUAAAUUUACUAAUAAUAGUUUAUAUUUUAAAACGCUGAACAAAAAUUUUUAAAACAUUACGUUUCAUUAUUAUCACAAUAGUUGUACAUACAAUUGCUGAAUUGUUUAUUCCUUCUUUCAAUUGCAUCUUUGGAUUCCAGGUACCAGAGGUUUAUUGUCGGAUACAUGUUAAUUUUCUUUCUUUCUUUUUUUUUUUUUUUUGUAAAUUAACCAAUACAGUUGACUUUGCCUGACAGAAGUUUGUCACAGAGGUCAUUCAACUUGACGCUUCAGUAAUGUCGCAUCAAAGUAUGUCCUUUAUGAGAAAAAUCACUGAUUUUUCUAUGGAGUUUGUCUUUCCACUUUCAGCGUUGCCAUAUCUGAGGAGCUCUGCAGGCUGCAGGAAGCAGUGGAACAACCCAGAAAAACUGUCCACCUCCUGGGGACACCCAGCAGUGUUUGGGACAUUCAUUUAGGCCUUUCACUGACUUGAGUGAUUUUUCUAACUGGAAAACUAGAGCAAGUGUUUUUCAUCGACAGCCAGGUUCCAGGAAAACCUCUCCAUAGCCUCAUGGUGGUGUAUCAGCAGCUCUGCAAGGUCAUUUACCCCGCAACACUCACGGUCAGGCUCCAAAUUUGAGUUAAGGCGGUGGUGGACACGUGACCUUAGCUGACAUGCACCGUUCUCUAAAUGAUUUGCAAGAAUAUUUCUUCUAAAUAUUUUAUAUUUGCUUUUGAAUAGCUAAUUCGCAUGCAGCGUUUAAACAAUUAAAAAUACAUUAAAAGGAAUGUAGUAAAAAGAUGCCUCCAAAUGCCUGCUCCCCAUCGACAGGUUAUCAUUGCCAAGGAUUGUUUUCUUUAAUUAGAGUAGAGUUGAUGAGCUGUGUUGGCGUGGAUGUUUGAUGUCUCCCUCCAAAGUAGGAAUGCGGACAAAGAAAGGCAAGCAGGUGGCCUUACUUUCUCCACUGUUAGCACCAAAAGGGAAGCUCUUAUUUACAUUGUUCCUCAUCUCGCUACUUCAAAUAAUGCCAUAGCUUGGGCAUCCUUCCAUGUCAAUGCAUAGAAAGUUCCCUUAUUUGCAAAUGCCGCCCCGCUUCUCCACAUGAGGGCUCAGGGAGAAGAUGGGGUCUAUGAACCAGAAAGUGGGUCCUCACCAGCCACCACCAAGUCUACUUGCUGGUACCUUGAUCUUGGAUUUCCAGCCUCUCCAGACCUGUGAGAAAUAAAUGUCUGUUGAUAAGCCACCCAUUCUGUGGUGUCCUGUUACAGCAGCCCAGAUGGAAUAAAGCCAUCUUUUAUAUUCAUGUUUUAAAGUUUUCUCUACCUGAAUCUUGCACAUGCGGUGUUCAUUCCUAUUUUUUUCCUUGUGUUGCUAUUAUAAAAGGGGACUUUGUGAGUUUUUGUCGUGGCUCCGUGGUAACGAACCCGACUAGUACCCAUGAGGUUGUGGGUUUGAUCCCUGGCCCCGCUGAGUGGGUUAAAGAUCUGGUGAGGCUGUGAGCUGGGGUGUAGGUCCCAGAUGAGGCUCAGAUCCGGCGCUGCUGUGGCUGUGGCGGAGGCCAGCGGCUGCACCUCCAGUUCGGUCUCUAGCCUGGAAACUUUCAUCUGCUGUGGGUGUGGCCCUAAAAAAAUUAAAAGAGCAUGUUGCUUCCAUGAUAUCUUUCUUCUAACUGGAUACUAUUCAUAGUUAUGAACCAUUGCGUACUUUCUUACUUGAGUAAUUCACUUAUAUUUUGAAAAAUUAAUUAAUUGAUUCACUUUAGUUCUUCAAAUAUUCGGGGUUAUGGUCUUCCGCAUAGAAGGGUGGUUGUAUGUUUUCUGUUCCGUUUUUAAAUCUCAGUUCUUUCUUUUGUCAAAUUUCAUACUUACUCCCUCAGCGAAAUAGUAAAUAGUAAUGAUAUUGGUGGGCAUCUUUGAUUUGAUUCUGAUAUUUAAUGGGAAGACGCUAGUGCUGGCUUUUGAACCAGAUAUGAGUAUUUUACCACAUCGAAGUAGUAUUCCUGCAUCCCAACUUUACCGAUGAUUUCCACCAAGAAUGGUUAUUGAAUUUUUAAAAAUGCUAUUUGAGAGACUAUGUAAAUAACUGUAAGAUUUUUCUACUAAUACGAUAAAUUGUAUUAGCCUUCCUCCUAUUUAAUCACCCUUGAAUUCUAGGCUAGGCCUAACGUGACUGUAAUUCUUUUAAUGUGUUGCUGAAUUCCAUUAGUUAGUAUUUUAUUUAUGGUUUUGGAAUUACUAUUUAUAAAGAAGGUUUGUUGAUAGGGUUUUUACAUUUUUUUGGUCACAUUUUGGUAUUAAUAUUACCUUUGCUUUAAAAAUAAUUUGGAGAGGUUUUUUUUGAUGUUCUGCAAUAAUUUCUAGAACAUUGAAAUUCUCUGCUCUUUAGUUUUGGUAGAACUUCCCUGUGAACCUGUCUCGCUCUUCGUCAUCUCUCUGAUUUUUCUAUGAAAGCAAGUCUUUUUAGAUAUUCUCUGUCUCAUCUGGUGUCAACUUUGGUGAAUUACGUUUUCCUGGGAAAUUAUCCAUUUUUUCCCAGCACUGAAAUCCUUUUCAGAGUUGAGCUAAGUGGUCUCGUAUUGUUCUUUCAUUUUCUCUGCUCCUUAUCUUCCGUAUUGAAUGUUUACCCUUUGUAAAAUGUAGCUUUUCCAGGAGUGCAUAUUUUUUAUAGUUUUUAAAAUUUAUUUAUUGACACGACAGCUUUUCUGUUUUUUAACUCACUAAAUUCUUUAUAAGCCUUUAAUAGACUUUAUUAAAACCUAGCAUGGUAGGUCUCUUUCUAAUGUUUUGAGUGUUUUUCAUCAUUUUGACAUAUGUUCUUAAUGUUAUGAAGACUUUAUUGUGCACUGCUUUAGCUAUUCUUCAUACAGUCUCAUAGGCAGUGUUUUUGUUAUCAUAUUUUAGACUAGUACUCGCCACUAGAAAGUUCGGUGACAGUGGGAAUUUUCUACAUCUGCAAUGUCCAGGGUGAUAACGAUUAGCCUUCUGGAGCUGUUGAGGGGUUAAGAUGCGGCUUGAGUGUGUGAGGAAGACUCAAUUUUUUAAAUUCAUUUUUUAUUAAAGUAUAGUUGACUUACAAAUGUUGUGCCCAUUUCCUUUCUUAUAUUAUCUUCCAUCAUGGUCUUUCUCAAGAGAGUUGAUAGAAUUCCCUGUGCUAUACAGUAGGACCUCACUGCUUAUCCAUUCUAAAUGUCAUAGUUUGCCCCAAAACUCCAAACUCCCAGUCUAUCCCACUCCCUCCCCCUCCUCCUUGGCAACCACAAGUCUGUUCUCCAUGUGUGUGAAUCUGUUUCUAUUUUGGGUGGAUAGGUUCAUUUGUGCCAUAUUUUCUAUUCCACAUAUAUGUGAUAUCAUACGGUGUUUGUCUUUCUCGUUCUGACUUCCUUCGCUUAGUAUGAUAAUCUCUAGUUGCAUCCAUGUUGCUGCAAAUGCCAUUAUUUCAUUCUUUUUUAUGGCCAAGUAGUAUUCCCUUGUACAGAUGUACUACAUCUUCUUAAUCCAUUCCUCUGUCAAUGGACAUUUAGGUUAUUUCUGUGUAUUGGCUCUUGUGACUACUGCUGCUGCAAACAUAGGGAGGCACGCCAC
rnacentral:lncRNA from 9 species